rnacentral:rRNA from 1 species
AACGAACGCUGGCGGCAUGCCUAACACAUGCAAGUCGAACGAGACCUUCGGGUCUAGUUGCGCACGGGUGCGUAACGCGUGGGAACCUGCCCUUAGGUUCGGAAUAACUCCCCGAAAGGGGUGCUAAUACCGGAUAAUGUCUUCGGACCAAAGAUUUAUCGCCUUUGGAUGGGCCCGCGUUGGAUUAGCUAGUUGGUAGGGUAAAAGCCUACCAAGGCUACGAUCCAUAGCUGGUCUGAGAGGAUGAUCAGCCACACUGGGAUUGAGACACGGCCCAGACUCCUACGGGAGGCAGCAGUGGGGAAUAUUGGACAAUGGGCGAAAGCCUGAUCAAGCAAUGCCGCGUGAGUGAUGAAGGCCUUAGGGUUGUAAAGCUCUUUUACCCGGGAUGAUAAUGACAGUACCGGGAGAAUAAGCUCCGGCUAACUCCGUG